UUCUGGGUAGAGGUCCUCAUUCUUGCUAACCGAGAGAAGAAUAGCCUUCGACGGUGUUGAAGCUCCAGCAUCUGCCCCAAUUUCGACCCCAUUUAACUUCGCCGCAUCCCAAAAGACAUUGACAUCGGCAACUUCAACCUCCUAAUCGACAUUGGCAAGUCGUAAUUCCAUGAAAUUUCUGUUUUUCAAGCUGGCGAUAGUGGUUUGGGGUUCCAUGUAAUCGAUCCACAUUUCACCGAAAUCGGCCGCACGAAGAAGAAGAAGCGGGAGAGAGGACCUGCAAGAACAGGGCAAAGGAAAGGCCCCCCUUUAUCAGGAGAGAUUCCCCGAAUUUGCGACGUCUGCAACAGAAGGACAGAGAUUCCCUCCUUUGGGCUUUUUCGAGGGUCCUUCCACUUCUUUGUUCACCUACACGCGAGGCUUUAAGAACCGCCUCUCCGCUGCUUGGGAACGCCAUCUGCAUUUGAGUGUGCAGCUGUGCAGUCGAUACAUCAUGGGCGGAAUAUGAUGAAUUUCGAAGUCCACCGGCACAACCAGGAUUUAGAACUCAAGUGGAUAUAAGUAGUGACGAAAUUAAUGUUGUGCGCGACCGUAUCGCUAAUCGGUUAUGGCGCGCGGAAAGAAGAGUUUCAUGACAUGUAUUGAGAUCUUUGAAUUUGAAUUUAGUAGCGAUUUGUUCUGUUCGUCACUGUAUUUUGUUGAAUUUUUGGUUGAUCACCACGUUAUUUAAUACAUAUAUUGUU